rnacentral:rRNA from 1 species
UCGGUUGAUCCUGCCGGAGGUCACUGCUAUCAGUGUUCGACUAAGCCAAGCAAGUCAAAUGUUCUUCGUGAACAUGGCGGACUGCUCAGUAACACGUGGAUAACCUGCCCUUAGGAUUGGCAUAACACCGGGAAACUGGUGAUAAUACCGAAUAGACCAUUUAUGCUGGAAUGCUUUUUGGUUCAAAGGCUUCGGCUGCCUAAGGAUGGAUCUGCGGCCUAUCAGGUAGUAGUGGGUGUAAUGUACCUACUAGCCUACGACGGGUACGGGUUGUGAGAGCAAGAGCCCGGAGAUGGAUUCUGAGACAUGAAUCCAGGCCCUACGGGGCGCAGCAGGCGCGAAAACUUUACAAUGCGGGAAACCGCGAUAAGGGGACACUGAGUGCCAGCAUAUUAUGUUGGCUGUCCACAUGUAUAAAAACCAUGUGUUAGCAAGGGCCGGGCAAGACCGGUGCCAGCCGCCGCGGUAACACCGGCGGCCCGAGUGGUGAUCACUUUUAUUGGGUCUAAAGGGACCGUAGCCGGUUUGAUCAGUCUUCUGGGAAAUCUGACAGCUCAACUGUUAGGCUUUCAGGGGAUACUGUUAAACUUGGGACCGGGAGAGGUAAGAGGUACUACAGGGGUAGGAGUGAAAUCUUGUAAUCCCUGUGGGACCACCAGUGGCGAANGCGUCUUACCAGAACGGGUCCGACGGUGAGGGACGAAAGCUGGGGGCACGAACCGGAUUAGAUACCCGGGUAGUCCCAGCCGUAAACGAUGUUCGCUAGGUGUCUGGGNNGGUGCGACCGUUUCUGGUGCCGUAGGGAAGCCGUGGAGCGAACCACCUGGGAAGUACGGCCGCAAGGCUGAAACUUAAAGGAAUUGGCGGGG